GGGCCUGACACAGUUUCGAUUGCGGGCAGAGGGCGAUGUAAGCAUACCAAAGGCUCGUCUUUGUAAAAACGGAAACUUAAAUUUAAACGCAGAAUCAAAAGAUUCCAAAGUUGUUGCCUUCCCUGUAAACAGGGCGGCAGUAGCUUGCGCUGCCUAAAUUUGGCAGUCCGUCCUUCGCGCAGUUCCGUCGGGCGCGCGGGGCGUUAUUCAGGCGGAUAACGGCAUAAUGCGCCCUGCCGUGCGCAUCGUGUUGUAAUUUUAACGGUAUGCGGCCGUCACUCCCCGUCUGUCGGGAGGGGCGGAGUAAGUUUAAAGGCAGACUAAGUAUGUAGAAAGCUCGCGCAAACCCCGUAAGACCAGAGUGCAACUCUCUGCAGGUCCACCA
rnacentral:tmRNA from 1 species